rnacentral:rRNA from 1 species
CCUACGGGUGGCUGCAGUAAGGAAUAUUGGUCAAUGGGGGCAACCCUGAACCAGCAACGCCGCGUGGAGGAUGAAGGGUUUCGGCUCGUAAACUCCUUUUAGGUGGGACGAGCAAGGACGGUACCACCUGAAUAAGUCUCGGCUAACUACGUGCCAGCAGCCGCGGUAAAACGUAGGAGACGAGCGUUAUCCGGAUUUACUGGGCGUAAAGCGCGUGCAGGCGGUCUAUUAAGUCACUUGUGAAAGCGCCCGGCUCAACUGGGCGAGGCCGUGUG